rnacentral:rRNA from 1 species
GGACGAACGCUGGCGGCAUGCCUAACACAUGCAAGUCGAACGGGGGUAGCAAUACCCUAGUGGCGAACGGGUGAGUAACACAUAAGCAAUCUGCCCUUCACAGGGGGAUAACAGCGGGAAACUGCUGCUAAUACCGCAUAAGACCACAGUACCGCAUGGUACAGGGGUAAAAACGAAUCAGUGGUGAAGGAUGAGCUUAUGUCCCAUUAGCUAGUUGGUGAGAUAACAGCCCACCAAGGCGACGAUGGGUAGCCGACCUGAGAGGGUGAUCGGCCACACUGGAACUGAGACACGGUCCAGACUCCUACGGGAGGCAGCAGUGGGGAAUAUUGGGCAAUGGAGGAAAAACCUCUUACCCAGCAAUGCCGCGUGAGUGAAGAAGGUCUUCGGAUUGUAAAGCUCUUUGAUUGGGGACGAAGAAAGUGACGGUACCCAAAGAACAAGCCCCGGCUAACUACGUGCCAGCCGCAGC